AGGGCAUACGGUGGAUGCCUAGGCGCCAAGAGCCGAAGAAGGACGCGGUAAGCUGCGAAAAGCCACGGGGAACUGCAAGCAAGUAUUGAUCCGUGGAUAUCCGAAUGGGGAAACCCGGCCAUCGUCAUGGAUGGUCACCCGCAAGGGAGGGAACCUGGGGAACUGAAACAUCUAAGUACCCGGAGGAAGAGAAAUCAAACGAGAUGCCCACAGUAGCGGCGAGCGAAGAGGGCAGAGCCCAAACCGAGAAGCUCCGGCUUUUCGGGGUUGAGGACCGGCAGAAUCGAAGUCAGGCCUAGUUGAAUUACCUGGAAAGGUAAGCGAGAGAGGGUAAAAGCCCCGUAGACGAAAGGCAGAGCAGAGAGGCCGAGAUCCAGAGUACCACGAAGCACGAGGAAUUUUGUGGGAAGCAGGGGGGACCACCCUCCAAGGCUAAAAACUACUUGGCGACCGAUAGCGCAUAGUACCGUGAGGGAAAGGUGAAAAGAACCCCGGGAGGGGAGUGAAAUAGUACCUGAAACCGUAUGUCUACAAGCAGUCGAAGCGAAAGCGACGGCGUGCCUAUUGAAGAAUGAACCAACGAGUUAUCUGCACUAGCGAGGUUAAGUGGAAGACACGGAGCCGCAGCGAAAGCGAGUCUUAAGAGGGCGCUAGUUAGUGUAGGUAGACCCGAAACCGCAGUGAUCUACCCAUGUCCAGGUUGAAGCGCAGGUAAAAUUGCGUGGAGGACCGAACCGGUGAGCGUUGAAAAGCUUUCGGAUGAGAUGUGGGUAGGGGUGAAAUUCCAAUCGAACGCGGAGAUAGCUGGUUCUCCCCGAAAUAGCUUUAGGGCUAGCCUGAGGUAGUAAGUAUAGGCGGUAGAGCACUGAUCGGGCUAGGGGCCGUAAAGGUUACCGAACCCUGUCAAACUCCGAAUGGAUAUACUGUAGAGCCUUGGAGUCAGACUACGAGUGAUAAGAUCCGUGGUCAAAAGGGAAACAGCCCAGACCACCAGCUAAGGUCCCCAAUGUCGUACUAAGUGGAAAAGGAUGUGGGGUUUCAUAAACAACCAGGAUGUUGGCUCAGAAGCAGCCACCAUUUAAAGAGUGCGUAAUAGCUCACUGGUCGAGAGACCCUGCGCCGAAGAUUCCCGGGGCUAAAGUACGAAACCGAAGCUGUGGCUGUAUACGUAAAGUAUACGGGGUAGGGGAGCGUUCCCAUAGGGUAGAAGUCGAACUGGAAGGUUCGGUGGACUUGUGGGAAGUGAGAAUGUUGGUAUGAGUAGCGAAAAGAAAGGUGAGAAUCCUUUCCACCGAAAGCAUAAGGAUUCCUGAGCAACGAUCGUCGUCUCAGGGUAAGUCGGGACCUAAUCCGAGGCAGAGAGCGUAGGAGAUGGACAACUGGUUGAUAUUCCAGUACCGGUAGUAAUUGUUUGAGCAAUGGAGUGACACAGAAGGGCAGGCAAGCAUGCGAAUGGAAGAGCAUGUGUAAGCGUGUAGGGUGGUGCAUAGGCAAAUCCGUGCACUGAAAGCCUGAGGCGUGAUGCGGAGUGAGCAGAGAUGCGAGCGAAGUUGUUGACCCCACACUGUCGAGAAAAGCUUCUAGUGAGAGAGCUACCGCCCGUACCGUAAACCGACACAGGUAUGCGGGGAGAGAAUCCUAAGGUGCGCGGGAGAACCCUCGUUAAGGAACUCGGCAAAAUGUACCCGUAACUUCGGGAUAAGGGUAGCCACUGUUGUGAAGUCCCAUGCGGAUGGAGCAUAGAGUGGUCGCAGAGAAGAGGCCCAAGCGACUGUUUACCAUAAACACAGGUGCCUGCUAAAGCGAAAGCUGACGUAUAGGUGCUGACACCUGCCCAGUGCCGGAAGGUUAAGGAAGGAUGUUCGGAUUAGUCCAAAGCAUUCGACUGAAGCCCCGGUGAACGGCGGCCGUAACUAUAACGGUCCUAAGGUAGCGAAAUUCCUUGUCGGGUAAGUUCCGACCCGCACGAAAGGUGUAACGAUUUGGGCACUGUCUCAACGAGGGACCCGGUGAAAUUGAAAUACCUGUGAAGAUGCAGGUUACCCGCGACUGGACAGAAAGACCCCAUGGAGCUUUACUGUAACCUGACAUUGGGUUUUGAUACAUUACGUACAGGAUAGGUGGGAGGCUUGGAAAGUUGGACGCUAGUCUGACUGGAGCCGACGUUGGGAUACCACCCUUGAUGUAUUGAAAUUCUAACCGCGAGAGUAACGAAAUCCGGGACAGUGU
rnacentral:rRNA from 1 species